rnacentral:sRNA from 1 species
CAGGACCUCAUGAGUAAGCUGUGGCGGCGUGGGAGCACCUCUGGGGCUAUGGAGGCCCCUGAGCCGGGUAAGCGCGGAUAGAUCAAGCAAUUUAGGCCGUGUUAGAAAAGAAGUCCCGUUCUUGCUCCUCGGAGAGUCCAGGGUACUUCGGCCACAGGUGGGAAGGAGAAAGGCGGUGCUGUUGUUAUGGUAACAGCGAGUACUGCCGGAAGGUUGGGAUCCAGUAGGGGCUUAGGUUAUUCAGGGCUUCCCCUGCCACCCUCCGGCCGAACACUGUUGACAGGCUUUCCUUCCACAGGAGAAGCCCUGGAGUUGGGCCUGGCGGGUGCCCAUGGCCAUGGAGUGCACAAGAAAAAACACAAGAAGCACAAGAAGAAACACAAGAAGAAACACCAUCAGGAAGAAGACGCCGGGCCCACGCAGCCGUCCCCUGCCAAGCCCCAGCUCAAACUCAAAAUCAAGCUUGGGGGACAAGUCUUGGGGACCAAGAGUGUUCCUACCUUCACUGUGAUCCCAGAGGGGCCUCGCUCACCCUCUCCCCUUAUGGUUGUGGAUAAUGAAGAGGAACCUAUGGAAGGAGUCCCCCUUGAGCAGUACCGUGCCUGGCUGGAUGAAGACAGUAAUCUCUCUCCCUCUCCACUUCGGGACCUAUCAGGAGGGUUAGGGGGUCAGGAGGAAGAGGAGGAACAGAGGUGGCUGGAUGCCCUGGAGAAGGGGGAGCUGGAUGACAAUGGAGACCUCAAGAAGGAGAUCAAUGAGCGGCUGCUUACUGCUCGACAGCGAGCUCUGCUCCAGAAGGCGCGGAGUCAACCUUCCGC